AACGAACGCUGGCGGCAGGCCUAACACAUGCAAGUCGAACGAGACCUUCGGGUCUAGUUGCGCACGGGUGCGUAACGGGUGGGAACCUGCCGUUAGGUUCGGAAUAACUACCCGUAAGGGGGGAUAAUACCGGAUAAUUUCUUUUGACCAAAGAUUUGUCGUCUUUGUAUGGGCCCGCGUUGUAUUAGCUAAGUGGUAGGGUAAAAGCCUACGAAGGCGACGAUCCAUAGCUGGUCUGAGAGGAUGAUCAGCCACACUGGGACUCGGACACGGCCCAGAGUCCUACGGGAGGCAGCAGUGGGGAAUAUUGGCAAACGGGCGAAAGCCUGAUCCAGCAAGGCCGCGUGAGUCAUGAAGGCCUUAGGGUUGUACAGCUCUUUUAUCCGGGAUGAUACUGACAGUACCGGGAGAAUAAGCUCCGGCUAACUCCGUG
rnacentral:rRNA from 1 species